rnacentral:rRNA from 1 species
UACGUAGGGUCCGAGCGUUGUCCGGAAUUAUUGGGCGUAAAGGGCUCGUAGGCGGUCUGUCGCGUCGGGAGUGAAAACUUACAGCUUAACUGUGAGCGUGCUUCCGAUACGGGCAGACUUGAGGUAUUCAGGGGAGAACGGAAUUCCUGGUGUAGCGGUGAAAUGCGCAGAUAUCAGGAGGAACACCGGUGGCGAAGGCGACAUCCUGGACCGGUAUUGACGCUGAGGCGCGAAAGCCAGGGGAGCAAACGGG